GGAGGCAGCAGUGGGGAAUAUUGCGCAAUGGAGGAAACUCUGACGCAGCCAUGCCGCGUGUGUGAAGAAGGCCUUCGGGUUGUAAAGCACUUUCACUUGGGAAGAAAAGCUUAUCGUUAAUAGCGGUGAGCCGUGACAUUACCUUGAGAAGAAGCACCGGCUAACUCCGUGCCAGCAGCCGCGGUAAUACGGAGGGUGCGAGCGUUAAUCGGAAUUACUGGGCGUAAAGCGCGCGUAGGCGGUUGAUUAAGUCAGCUGUGAAAGCCCCGGGCUCAACCUGGGAAUUGCAGUUGAUACUGGCCGACUAGAGUGCAGGAGAGGGAGGUAGAAUUCCACGUGUAGCGGUGAAAUGCGUAGAUAUGUGGAGGAAUACCAGUGGCGAAGGCGGCCUCCU
rnacentral:rRNA from 1 species